GAUGAACGCUGGCGGCGUGCCUAAUACAUGCAAGUCGAGCGAACAGACGAGGAGCUUGCUCCUCUGACGUUAGCGGCGGACGGGUGAGUAACACGUGGAUAACCUACCUAUAAGACUGGGAUAACUUCGGGAAACCGGAGCUAAUACCGGAUAAUAUAUUGAACCGCAUGGUUCAAUAGUGAAAGACGGUUUUGCUGUCACUUAUAGAUUGAUCCGCGCCGCAUUAGCUUGUUGGUAAGGUAACGGCUUACCAAGGCGACGAUGCGUAGCCGACCUGAAAGGGUGAUCGGCCACACUGGAACUGAGACACGGUCCAGACUCCUACGGGAGGCAGCAGUAGGGAAUCUUCCGCAAUGGGCGAAAGCCUGACGGAGCAACGCCGCGUGAGUGAUGAAGGUCUUCGGAUCGUAAAACUCUGUUAUUAGGGAAGAACAAAUGUGUAAGUAACUAUGCACGUCUUGACGGUACCUAGUCAGAAAGCCACGGCUAACUACGUG
rnacentral:rRNA from 1 species